UUUAAAUUGCUGUAGUAUUUUGACUAUACAAAGGUAUUGUAAUAAGAUUUUAAUUGAAUGCUAAAAGAAUGGAAAUUUAAAAAAAAACUUUUUUAAAAAUAAAAAUUGAAUUUUUUUUAAUUUGUGCAAAAACAAUUAUAUUUAUUAAAGACAAGAAGACCCUAAGAAUUUAAGAUUUUACAAUUAAAAAGUUUUUUUUUUAAAAUCUUGAUUGGGGCGAUCAAAAAAUAUUAAUAACUUUUUAAAAUUUAAAUUGAUCUAUUAUUAAUAAACUAAUGAAUUAAAUACUCUAGGGAUAACAGCGUAAUAAUUUUUGAUAGAUCUUAUUGACAAAAUAGUUUGCGACCUCGAUGUUGGAUUAGGAUUCUUUUUUAAUGAAGAAGUUAAAAAAAGAAGUUUGUUCAACUUUUAAAUUCCUACAUGAUC
rnacentral:rRNA from 1 species